rnacentral:lncRNA from 1 species
UGGUGUGGAUGUGUAGGGAUUCUUACUGGGCUGUAAAGCUCACCCUUUUUUUUUCUCCUUUUUCUUUACCAGAGUUGCAGGAUGCAUAGUUUUGGAUGGGAUGGGCGCAGAGUGCGAGUACCAGAGUCAUUAGUUAGUUAGUUGUUUAUCCUUCUUUGAUGUCGAUGAACAUUUGAAGAGCUCGUAAUUGAACUAAAUUGUUUAUUUGACAUGUCGGAUUUGUUUAUUUGAAUUAUUAAAUUAAUUGUGGA